AUUGAGCGCUGGCGGCAGGCCUAACACAUGCAAGUCGAGCGGAUGAGGGAAGCUUGCUUCCCGAUUUAGCGGCGGACGGGUGAGUAAUGCCUAGGAAUCUGCCUAUUAGUGGGGGAUAACGUUCCGAAAGGAACGCUAAUACCGCAUACGUCCUACGGGAGAAAGUGGGGGAUCUUCGGACCUCACGCUAAUAGAUGAGCCUAGGUCGGAUUAGCUAGUUGGUGGGGUAACGGCUCACCAAGGCGACGAUCCGUAGCUGGUCUGAGAGGAUGAUCAGCCACACUGGAACUGAGACACGGACCAGACUCCUACGGGAGGCAGCAGUAAGGAAUAUUGGACAAUGGUCGCAAGACUGAUCCAGCCAUGCCGCGUGCAGGAAGACGGCCCUAUGGGUUGUAAACUGCUUUUGUACCAGAGAAAACCUACUCACGUGUGAGUAGCUGAUAGUAUGGUAAGAAUAAGCAUCGGCUAACUUCGUGCCAGCAGCCGCGGUAACAC
rnacentral:rRNA from 1 species